rnacentral:rRNA from 1 species
AACCCAAACCCCACCCCAACCACAAAUCACUCUGAAGCUAAUGUGUGAAUGUCGCUUCGGUGGCUUCACUCUUAACUAAAGACAACUCUCAACAACGGAUAUCUUGGCUCCCGUAUCGAUGAAGAACGCAGCGAAAUGCGAUACGUAGUGUGAAUUGCAGAAUUCCGUGAACCAUCGAAUCCUUGAACGCAAAUUGCGCCCGAGGCUUCGGCCGAGGGCAUGUCUGCCUCAGCGUCGGCUUACACCCUCGCUCCCUCUCCCAUGUGGAGUGGGCAGCGGAUCUGACCUUCCCGGCUCCGUUUCUUAGGAAGCGUCCGGGUCGGUUGAAGUGUAGAGGCUUGAGCAUGGACCCCGUUUGUAGGGCAAUGGCUUGGUAGGUAGCAUCGCUACACAACCUGCCGUCGUCCGAGGGGUUUUUGCUGGCGGCCCAGCAGGAAUUCGGUGGAUGGGUUCCCUGUCCCCGAAUGCUUCACUUUUCGACCUGAGCUCAGGCAAGACUACCCGCUGAACUUAAGCAUAUCAAUAAGCGGAGGA